GACGAACGCUGGCGGCGUGCUUAACACAUGCAAGUCGAACGAUGAACUUGGAGCUUGCUCUGGGGGAUUAGUGGCGAACGGGUGAGUAACACGUGAGUAACCUGUCCUGGACUCUGGGAUAACUUCGAGAAAUCGGAGCUAAUACCGGAUAGGACCUUGCACCGCAGGGUGUGGGGGGGAAAGUUUUUCGGUUUGGGAUGGACUCGCGGCCUAUCAGCGUGUGGGUGAGGUAAGGGCUCACCGAUGCGUCGACGGGUAGCCGGCCUGUGAGGGUGACCGGCCACACUGGGACUGAGACACGGCCCAGACUCCUACGGGAGGCAGCAGAGGGGAAUAUUGCACAAUGGGCGCAAGCCUGAUGCAGCAACGCCGCGUGCGGGAUGACGGCCUUCGGGUUGUAAACCGCUUUUAGUAGGGAAGAAGCCUUCGGGUGACGGUACCUGCAGAAAAAGGACCGGCUAACUACGUGCCAGCCGCCGCCGUAACAC
rnacentral:rRNA from 1 species